rnacentral:rRNA from 1 species
GAUGAACGCUGGCGGCGUGCUUAACACAUGCAAGUCGAACGAAGCAUUUAAGACAGAUUACUUCGGUUUGAAGUCUUUUAUGACUGAGUGGCGGACGGGUGAGUAACGCGUGGGUAACCUGCCUCAUACAGGGGGAUAGCAGCUGGAAACGGCUGGUAAUACCGCAUAAGCGCACAGUACCACAUGGUACAGUGUGAAAAACUCCGGUGGUAUGAGAUGGACCCGCGUCUGAUUAGCUUGUUGGCGGGGUAACGGCCCACCAAGGCGACGAUCAGUAGCCGACCUGAGAGGGUGACCGGCCACAUUGGGACUGAGACACGGCCCAGACGCCUACGGGAGGCAGCAGUGGGGAAUAUUGCACAAUGGAGGAAACUCUGAUGCAGCGACGCCGCGUGAGUGAAGAAGUAGUUCGCUAUGUAAAGCUCUAUCAGCAGGGAAGAUAGUGACGGUACCUGACUAAGAAGCUCCGGCUAAAUACGUG